rnacentral:rRNA from 1 species
AGUGAACGCUGGCGGCAUGCCUAACACAUGCAAGUCGAGCGGCCGCACGGGAAGAGCUCUUUCCUGCUGUUGGCGACGGGCGGGUGAGUAAGAAAUAGAUAAGAAUCCACUUUGUCUGGGGUGAUUACGGAAGGAAGCAUACGAUAAUGGCGCAUAUGUCCAACGGGUUAAAUCAAAGGAUCUUGAGGCCUUUGCUGAUACUAUGAGAUGAUGUCGGGUUGCAUUAGCUAGUUGGUAAGGUAACGGCAUACCAAGGCAACGAUGCAUAGCCGACCUGAGAGGGUGAUCGGCCACACUGGAACUGAGACACGGUCCAGACUCCUACGGGAGGCAGCAGUAGGGAAUCUUCCGCAAUGGGCGAAAGCCUGACGGAGCAACGCCGCGUGAGUGAUGAAGGUCUUCGGAUCGUAAAGCUCUGUUAUUAGGGAAGAACAUAUGUGUAAGUAACUGUGCACAUCUUGACGGUACCUAAACAGAAAGCCACGGCUAACUACGUG